rnacentral:lncRNA from 1 species
UGAUCCUCCUGCCUCAGCCUCCUAAGCCACUGGGAUUACAGGUGUGUGCCACUGAGCCCGGUUUGGCUUUGAACUUUUGAUCCUCCUGCUGCUGGGAUGACAGGCAUGUGCUACUAUGCCUGACUAAAGGGAUCUUUCAAAAAAAAAUUUUUUUUUAACCUUCCCCUUGUUUUCUUUUGAGGAAAUGCUAAGGAACUUUCAGAUAAUAACAGUGAAAUGUUUCAAGGCUCUUGGGCAGUAGGCACGAUUGAAGUGCUUUCCCUGUAUUAACUCAAUCCUUACAACCUUAUGAACUGGCACAAUUACUAAUCCCAUUUUAUAAAUGAAGGAGUUGACAUGGUGGCAGGACUGAGAUUCAAGAGCACAGCUCUUAACUUCCACACUGGGCUACGAUGUUGCUCUUGGUGUGACAUGAUGUGCUGAAUUUCGCUUAUUAAUGUCACCUCUUAAGCCUCGUCAUUAAUUAUCUGGGCAGGGGGCUUGGGGAUCUGGGCAGGGGGCUUGGUCAAGCUUUCCUCGGGAGAGCAAGUUAGUGAGGGGGAUUCCUUGGCAGAAUGGCUUACACAUAGGAGGUGCUUAGAGAAAAAAUGAUCCAGAGUUUGUGGUGUAGUGGAAAAGUCAUGACAUGGGAUUGGCUCAGCUCUACCACUGAUGGUCUUGAGUAAGUCAACAUCUCCUGAAUAAAUCAUCCAUAUUCAUAAAGUGAGCCUCACUAGGAUAUCUUGCCUGCUGCUUUGGGUAGUAGUUUGUUUUUGCAGUACUAGGAAUAAAACCCAGAGACACUUUACCCCUGAGCUACAUCCUCAGUCCUUUUUCACUUCAAGACUAUCUGAUCAAGUUGUAGAUGGUGGCCUUGAAUUUGGGAUCCUCCUGCCUCAGUCCCACAGUUGCUAGGAUUACAGGGCGCCACACUCAACUUCUUUGGUUAUUUGGAAGGUUUGAAUGAGACAAAGUCCUAUAUAAAGUGAAUAAGAAUUUAUGAAAGCUGUGAAAUCCCAAGGAUCUAAGAGGUGUCAUGGAGUGGCAGAGCAGCAACUUAGGGCCUCCUAGUGACAAACUCACAUUUAUGCCCAUAAACACUCCAAACCAUCCUUAAGAUGACCUCAGGAAGGCCACCCCACAGCCCUUCAUAUUUGCUGAGCCUGGCACCAGAAAGCCUACUAGCACCUCCUGAGUUGCAUGGGGUGAGGCAAAAAUCCUGCAAUUUAUGCUCAUUCUAGUAUGUAUAGAUGGUGCCCUGUUGAUAAGUCUAGGCUUCUGUUUUCUUUAUGCUGAAUCAGUGGGUAAUUUGGAAGUGAUUUCCACUGUACAUUAAGAGACCUUUGAAGCCCUAAAUUAGAAUAAGUAUUUGUCAACUCACACUAUGGCUUUUAUGAGGCUGAAACAGGAGGAUUGCAAGUUUGAGACCAGCUUGGGAAACUUAGUGAGACCCUGUCUCAAAAACUAAAAAGGAGCCAGGCAUGGUGGUGCACACCUGUAAUCUUAGCAACUUGGGAGGCUGAGGCAGGAGGAUUGCAAGUUCAAAGCCAGCCUCAGAAACUUAGUGAAACCCUGUCUCAGAAUAAAAAAUAAAAAAGGAGGGGCUGGGAUCGUGGCUCAGCAGUAGAGUGCUCACCUAGCACGGGCAGGACCUGGGUUCGAUCCUCAGCACCACAUAAAAAUAAAGGCAUUGUGUUGUGUCCAUCUACACCUAAAAAAUAAAUUAAAAAUAAUAAUAAAGGGUUGGGAAUGUCGCUUGGUGGAUAGUACCUCUGGGUUCAAGCCCCAGUACUAGGGAAAAAAUUAUUUCUUACAUUGGAGAGUUGUGAUGACUGCAAGAUAAUAUAAAUCAAAUUCUAUGGACUGGGGAUAUAGCUCAGUUGGUAGAGUGCUUGCCUUGCAUGCACUAAGGCCCUUGGUUCAAUCCCCAUCACCACAAAAUAAAUAAAUAAACUAAAUUCUCAAUAUGGUUUCUAGUGUUCAACAAGUGUUAGCUAUUAUGAUGAGUGUUAGUAUUACUGUGAUCCUCACUGCUGUAUUGAUUUUUAGUGAGAUAAUAUUUAUAAUAUGUAAUUGAGAAUCUCUAUAUUUAGUCAUACUGUCUCAUUCAAAAUGAACAGGCAUCCACACCUCCUCCUGUGUGUCACUGAGCCCAGAAGGGACCCCUUAAAUUCAUUUUUCACUGCAAAGACAUUCUCUUCUGAUUGUUCUACACACACACUCACACACUUUCUCUGAUUCUUUCUGGAUGUCCUACACUCCAGUGUAUUCCAUCACUCAGGACUUUGUUUCAUGUUGGUGACUGUCAUCAGUGUAGGAGUCCAAGUUUCUCUUGACAGCUAGGACCCUUGAGCAUAGUCCUUCUGAACCUUUUCCUCACCCAAGAUCUCUUACUCUCCCUACCUGUGAGUCCUGCAGUCAGAACGUAGGCGUGGCAUAUCCAGAACUUGGAAGUAGAUUUAUGUUAGAGUGAAACUAGUAUGAAUCAGCAAAAAAUGGCUGAGAUGUAGAAGUGAUUCAAAAGAUUGUGAAUUUUGGUUUGGUGGUGGUGAUUGUGUGUGGGUGUGUGUGUGAGAGAGAGAGAGAGAGAGAGUCAGAGGACUGAGGAAAUGUUUAAGACCACCCACAGUCAUGGCAGAACACAGUGUUUGGAAGAAUCCAUGAACUGUGAUUGGAAGCAAGAUUGCUGAACCCUGCAGUGGAGAUGGGGGGCGCGAGAGCAAGCGUCGCUCACUGGGUUCCCAGCUCUGGGAAGAUGCAGGCUCUAUCUGGAGAUUUGUCCCUGUUGAAUGUCUUGCCCUUCAAAGCACUGGAUGCCUUAAGCUUUCAGAGCUUGGCACCAUAGUCUCCUGAGCUCCAUCGACUCCCAUACUCCAUUCGACUUUCAUCUUCCUUCUUCCACUUGUGAUGGGCCUCCUUGUGUCAGUUUUCUCACCAAAAGAGGAUGUGCUGACCAGCAAAGAUGGAUUUUUCAGGCCACCUGACAGCUGCAUUUAAAAAAAAUAUUUUUAGUUGUAGUUGAACACAAUACCUUUAUUUUAUUUAUUUUUAUGUGGUGCUGAGGAUCAGAUCCAGGGCCUCACAUGUGCUAGGCAAACACUCUACCACUGAGCCACAACCCCAGCCCCCUCGCAGCUGCAUUUCUAAUGAUAAAUUAAUUAACACAUCUGGUUUAUAGAUCCGUCUCUUCUAAGUUUCACCUGUGUGAGACAGAGCCCCUUAGCAUGAUCCACUAAUAAUUUGCUGAGUACUAUAUACCUGUCAUGGUUCUUAGCAUUUUAUAUGAACUACUCAAUAAUGUUUGUUUGUUUUGUACCAGGAAUUGAACCCAGGAAAGCUUAACCACUGAGCCACACCCAUGACCCUUUUUUGUAUUAUUAUUUAGAGACAGGGGUCUCACUGAGUUGUGUAGGGCCUUGCUAAAUUGCUGAGGCUGGCUUUGAACUCAAGAUCCUCCUUCCUCCGUCUCCAAAGCCACUGGAAUUACAGGUGUGCACCACCACGCCCAGUGAAUUAUUCAGUUUUUACAAAAAAUCAAUGAGAUAUGUGUUAUCCCAAGUUUAUAAAUGAGAAAAUGGAGACCCAGUCAAGUUAAAUACUGGCCUAGGUUCACCUAUCUAGUGAGAUUCUGAACUGGGGCUAGAACUGAGUCACAUGGAGCCCAAAGCCCAAGCUCACUCACUUCAGCACAGUGAGACACUUUGACUAUGUGGACACACGUUGCAAACCUAAGGGGAUGAGCAUCUGUUCUCUGCCUGGUGACUUCGGCAGACACUGGGCCCCUGGAGACCACAUCUGAGCUGCCUGCCUGGAGAAUACCAACACUUUUCAAAAGAUUUUAUUAAAUAAACCCAAUUUGUUAAAUGGUUAUGUUUCCCCAUGAUUUCUUAUGGUCCUAAUCCACAAAGUUUCUGAUCAA